rnacentral:rRNA from 1 species
GACGAACGCUGGCGGCGUGCCUAAUACAUGCCAGUAGAACGCACAGUUUAUACCGUAGCUUGCUACACCAUAGACUGUGAGUUGCGAACGGGUGAGUAACGCGUAGGUAACCUGCCUGGUAGCGGGGGAUAACUAUUGGAAACGAUAGCUAAUACAGCAUAAUAUUAAUUAUUGCAUGAUAAUUAAUUGAAAGGUGCAAUUGCACCACUACCAGAUGGACCUGCGUUGUAUUAGCUAGUAGGUGAGGUAACGGCUCACCUAGGCGACGAUACAUAGCCGACCUGAGAGGGUGAUCGGCCACACUGGGACUGAGACACGGCCCAGACUCCUACGGGAGGCAGCAGUAGGGAAUCUUCGGCAAUGGACGAAAGUCUGACCGAGCAACGCCGCGUGAGUGAAGAAGGGUUUCGGAUCGUAAAGCUCUGUUGUAAGAGAAGAACGGGUGUGAGAGUGGAAAGUUCACACUGUGACGGUAUCUUACCAGAAAGGGACGGCUAACUACGUG